rnacentral:rRNA from 1 species
AUGAACGCUGGCGGCGUGCCUAAUACAUGCAAGUCGAGCGAACAGACGAGGAGCUUGCUCCUCUGACGUUAGCGGCGGACGGGUGAGUAACACGUGGAUAACCUACCUAUAAGACUGGGAUAACUUCGGGAAACCGGAGCUAAUACCGGAUAAUAUAUUGAACCGCAUGGUUCAAUAGUGAAAGACGGUUUUGCUGUCACUUAUAGAUGGAUCCGCGCCGCAUUAGCUAGUUGGUAAGGUAACGGCUUACCAAGGCAACGAUGCGUAGCCGACCUGAGAGGGUGAUCGGCCACACUGGAACUGAGACACGGUCCAGACUCCUACGGGAGGCAGCAGUAGGGAAUCUUCCGCAAUGGGCGAAAGCCUGACGGAGCAACGCCGCGUGAGUGAUGAAGGUCUUCGGAUCGUAAAACGCUGUUAUUAGGGAAGAACAAAUGUGUAAGUAACUAUGCACGUCUUGACGGUACCUAAGCAGAAAGCCCGGCUAACUACGUG